GACGAACGCUGGCGGCGUGCUUAACACAUGCAAGUCGAACGGAAAGGCCCUGCUUUUGUGGGGUGCUCGAGUGGCGAACGGGUGAGUAACACGUGAGUAACCUGCCCUUGACUUUGGGAUAACUUCAGGAAACUGGGGCUAAUACCGGAUAGGAGCUCCUGCUGCAUGGUGGGGGUUGGAAAGUUUCGGCGGUUGGGGAUGGACUCGCGGCUUAUCAGCUUGUUGGUGGGGUAGUGGCUUACCAAGGUUUUGACGGGUAGCCGGCCUGAGAGGGUGACCGGCCACAUUGGGACUGAGAUACGGCCCAGCCUCCUACGGGAGGCAGCAGUGGGGAAUAUUGCACAAUGGGCGGAAGCCUGAUGCAGCAACGCCGCGUGCGGGAUGACGGCCUUCGGGUUGUAAACCGCUUUCGCCUGUGACGAAGCGUGAGUGACGGUAAUGGGUAAAGAAGCACCGGCUAACUACGUG
rnacentral:rRNA from 1 species